UUAGUCAAAAGUAAUGAAGAUGACAAAACCAGCGCAGGUGGUGACCGCUGUUUGAAGAAAGAGUGUCUGGAAGCAGCUACCAUGAUUCUAUAUUCGAGGAAGAAAUCUGUGAAUCCUUGUGAUGAUUUCUAUGAACAUUCCUGUGGAAAUUGGAUAGCAUCACAUGAAAUCUCACCGAGGGAUAAUGCUGUUGGAGUCUUUUUGAAUCUUAGAGAUAUUCUUGACGAACGUC
rnacentral:lncRNA from 1 species